UACGUAGGGUGCAAGCGUUUGUCCGGAAUUAUUGGGCGUAAAGAGCUCGUAGGCGGUCUGUCGCGUCUGCUGUGAAAACUCAGGGCUUAACCCUGAGCUUGCAGUGGGUACGGGCAGACUAGAGUGCGGUAGGGGAGAUCGGAAUUCCUGGUGUAGCGGUGGAAUGCGCAGGAUAUCAGGAGGAACACCGGUGGCGAAGGCGGAUCUCUGGGCCAAUAACUGACGUGGAGGAGCGAAAGCAUGGGGGAGCGAACAGGA
rnacentral:rRNA from 1 species